CAAGAGCUGUCAGUGUAUGACUUAACUUUAUUCCUGGUGGGAACUCAACCUGCAUAGAUGCUAUUGCAAUAACAGAUUACCAAGAUUUUUUCUUCAUGUUGGAGAGCUAAUUAGAUUCAAGUAUUUUAGGGAAGCUCUGAGUUUACUAAAGAACACAUAUGCAAAUUAACACUGGGAAGAGGGGAAUGAUAACAAUCUGGAGCUGUGUCUUCAACCCUGUGAUUGACAGACUCAACAGGCACAUCUGCAGGAGAGGCCCUUCACCUUCUACUGUAAACAUAAAGAAAUCAGAGGCUCUCAUGCAGUGCUGUUGGCAGAUCACCAUGAACUUGUUUCAGCCAGAGCACACUUCGGCGUCAUGGUCAGUGAAAGUCUGUGAGCUUCAAAGGUAAGUCCUGUGCUCAAAGAGAGACAUUGCGAUGACCCAGGACUCCUGGCAGAUUUGGUUUCAGUUACUGGAAGAUUCUCAAAAAAUUCAAAGGCACGUCAGCUCACUUCAAACUUCAGCAAAGAGCAGGAGAUCUCCUACACAAAGUGCAAAGUGUAGCGCUAGCAGUCCAGGGAGAGCCUGCAUCUUGAUUUCACUAGAACAGAUGUUAUCUGCAAGCAAUUAACAUACUUGUCAUCACCAGUGAAAUAGAUACAGAAUUCUUCGAG
rnacentral:lncRNA from 1 species